UUGGCAAUAAAAGAUCCAAACUUCUAACAAAGACAAAAAAUAACGUAUGGAAUCCCAACUCUCUCAUGCUCAGCAGACUUCUACCAUCAUUCGUUCAUGGCCUGCAGGCCCUGGUGUGAACACUCUGCUCUGGGGUACAAAAUGAUGGCCAGAAGGUCUCAGGUGCAGGCUUCUGGGGCUCGGUUUUUGGGACGCUAGCUCUCUGAGGUCAGGUUGCAUAGCCAUUCACAUCACAGGGAGUGGGAGGGUAACCCUGGCAUUGGGAGAAAGAGAACCAGUGGAUGGAUUUGGUGGUUCUGCCAUCAGGGGGAGCAGAUGCCAGCACUGAACAUGCCCUGGAAGCCCGCCAGCAUUGCCAGAAAAGUCACCAAGCUGCAGAGGUCUCACUGUGAGCCCCUCUGCACACCGCAUGUGUUGAGGACAAAAGGAGAGCAGGUUUCCUUGGGGCAGAGCUGCAGACAGCAUGAGAAUGAGAACGGGGACACUACACAGAACAAACACCAUGGAAACAGCUACGCGAGCAUGGGUCCGCUUCAAAGUCUUGUCUAGAACUGGCAAUGGUGGAUCCACCCCUCUCCCAAGAGACCUAGACGAUCGAUGAAAGGAAUC
rnacentral:lncRNA from 1 species